UACAGAGGGUGCAAGCGUUGUUCGGAAUUAUUGGGCGUAAAGCGCGUGUAGGCGGCAUUGCAAGUCGGGGGUGAAAGCCUGUGGCUCAACCACAGAAUUGCCUUCGAUACUGUAGAGCUUGAGACCGGAAGAGGUAAGUGGAACUGCGAGUGUAGAGGUGAAAUUCGUAGAUAUUCGCAAGAACACCAGUGGCGAAGGCGGCUUACUGGUCCGGUUCUGACGCUGAGGCGCGAAAGCGUGGGGAGCAAACAGG
rnacentral:rRNA from 1 species